CAAGGCUCCACCCUGUAUUUAUUACACACAAUGAUGAAACUAUCAGCUUAAUAUAGAUAGACUGUAACGUCUGUGGGCCGUUCUUGUAAAAUAAAAGAUGUGGAUAAGAUUAUUGAUAUUGGUCAUGAUGUUGGCGUCAGUUUAUACUUUAAACCAAUUCGUAGAUAUCGAUAUGGUGAACCAACCCGUAGACAGCGAUAUGGUUAACCAACCUAUAGACAGCGAUACUGUUAACCAACCCAUAGACAGCGAUACUGUUAAACAAUUCGUAGACACCGAUACUGUUAAACAACCCAUAGACAGCGAUACUGUUAAACAACUCGUAGACAGCGAUGCCUUUAAACAACUCUUAAACACUGAUGUGUUUAAACAGCUCGUAGAUACUGAUAUUGUAAACCAACCCCUGGACAUGAAUACGUUAAAUCGACCCAUAGACAUCGAUGCGUGGAACAAAUUUGUAGAUAGCGGUACUUUAGACCGAUACGAAGACAAGUCUACUGUUAGUGAGAGUAAACCCCAUCUAAAGCUUAGUUACAUGUGGUUACUAAAACUAUGAUGUUGGUAUCACAAGUUAAUAGGUACAAGGCCUCUACCCCGCUACUGUUACUACUGGAAAGAUGACAGGAAGCUACAAAACAAUCAAUACAACGGAUUUUUUAUCCACAGAUUGAGACUGUACUUUCUACGGCCUUGUUGGUUUUUGUUUUCUUUGUUUUUUGAAGGCCCGAUGCGCCAUUUGCAUUUUCGCUAAAAAAUAUCAUAUUCUCACGGCUUAAUACACGCUAAAUAUUUCAUAUUCUCACGGCUUAAUGCACGCUAAAAAUAUCACAUUUUCACGGCUUAAUACACGCUAAAAUAUCACAUUUCCAAGGCUUAAUACAAGCUUAAUACAAGCUAAAAAUAUCAUAUUCUCACGGCUUAAUACACACUAAAACUAUCAUAUUCUCGUGGCUUAAUACACGCUACAAAUAUCAUAUUGUCAGUGCUUUACACUCUAAACAAUAUCAUAUUUUCAGGGCUUAAUACACAUUAAAACUAUGACAUGCUCAUGGCUUAAUACACAUUAAAACUAUCACAUGCUCACGACUUAAUACACGCUAAAUAUGUACACAGACUGAUUAUUUAACAUUUAAUUAAGACAACAAAAUCAAAAUAUCAACACUAGACGAUCGCGGCUUGGAUAAAAUCGGAUGUAACUUAAAUCAACCUUACCGUCGAAUGUUGAUAUUGACCAGUAGGAGAUUUAAGACACAAUGCUGUCGGACGCCAUUUGUAAUGAGCGACUCGGUGAACGCCGUUAAACAUAUUACACAAGGGAAGACUACCGGAGUGCACUGGAAUAACCAGACGCCAUAGACUGCCAUUCAACAUGCACUCUUCGCGUAUUUCGCCGAACAUAACUGAUCAGUUUAUAAACAUUCAUAUUACAUUAUUAUAUGCGUUGCGACCCAUUUGUGUCCAUGUCUAGGUGCCAAAGAAAAGUGAUUUAGCUCCUUUAAUAGUUAGCAAAUACGAAGAAUGCCUGGAACGAUUUCAGAUGCUCACCAGUGGUUAAUUUACGUUAUUUUCCUGGCUAAAAUUGUAUUUUGUAUUAUAGUACCGUAUCCAUUUGUAAAUUAUC